rnacentral:tRNA from 2 species
GGAGAGGUGGCCGAGUGGUCGAAGGCGCGCCCCUGCUAAGGGCGUAAGGGGGUAACCCCUUCGUGAGUUCGAAUCUCAUCCUCUCCGCCA